UAGAGUUUGAUCCUGGCUCAGGAUGAACGCUGGCGGCGUGCUUAACACAUGCAAGUCGAGCGGAGAUAUUUAAAGGAAGUUUUCGAAUGGAAUUUAAAUAUCUUAGCGGCGGACGGGUGAGUAACGCGUGGGUAACCUGCCUCAUACAGGGGGAUAACAGUUGGAAACGACUGCUAAUACCGCAUAAGCGCACAGUGCUGCAUAGCACAGUGUGAAAAACUCCGGUGGUAUGAGAUGGACCCGCGUCUGAUUAGGUAGUUGGUAGGGUAACGGCCUACCAAGCCGACGAUCAGUAGCCGACCUGAGAGGGUGACCGGCCACAUUGGGACUGAGACACGGCCCAAACUCCUACGGGAGGCAGCAGUGGGGAAUAUUGGACAAUGGGGGAAACCCUGAUCCAGCGACGCCGCGUGAGUGAAGAAGUAUUUCGGUAUGUAAAGCUCUAUCAGCAGGGAAGAAAAUGACGGUACCUGACUAAGAAGCCCCGGCUAACUACGUGCCAGCAGCCGCGGUAAUACGUAGGGGGCAAGCGUUAUCCGGAUUUACUGGGUGUAAAGGGAGCGUAGACGGCACUGCAAGUCUGGAGUGAAAGCCCGGGGCUCAACCCCGGGACUGCUUUGGAAACUGUGGCGCUAGAGUGCAGGAGAGGUAAGUGGAAUUCCUAGUGUAGCGGUGAAAUGCGUAGAUAUUAG
rnacentral:rRNA from 1 species